GCCGGGCGCAGUAGCCUGUAAUCCUAGCUACUCGGGAGGCUGAGACAGGAGGAUCACUUGAGUACAGGAGUUCUAAGCUGUAGUGCACGAUGCCAAUCGGGUGUCCGCACUAAGUUAAGCAUCAAUAUGGUGACCUCCCGGAAGGGGAGGGGAAGGGCACCAGGUUGACUAAGUAGGGGUGAACCGGCCCAGGUCAGAAAGGGAGCAGGUCAAAACUCCUGUGCUGAUCAAUAGAUGAUAGAUGAUAGAUAGACAGACAGAUUAUAGAUAGUACUCAACACUAAGAACAAUGUUCGU
ensembl:misc_RNA Metazoa_SRP Metazoan signal recognition particle RNA